rnacentral:lncRNA from 1 species
CUCAAUGGAGGGGCACCAGGCAAUCCCAGAAUCCCAUUCUUCUCUAAAUGCUUAUAAGACAUGAUGUUUGUUGUAAUUUGAAAGACUAAAGUGCCAAGGCCAGCCCUCCAGAGUAGUUACCAGCCAGAAAAUUCUAUGCCCACAAAUCUGUGAAGUGCUGCCCAGUGAACAACACGUCUAAAGCCUGACUACAGGGUCUGAAGAGUGUGGCUUCCCAUGGCUAUUAUUACUGUACCCAACAACGCACUUCACUGUUAUAGUCAUUUGUGCUUUUAAGCUCAAAAUUGCAAUUCUUUUUUGUGGGUUUUUUUUAAGAUUUAUAUAUUUAUUUAUUUGAGAGAGAGUGCACACUCACACAGGUGAGUGGGGAGGGUCGGGGGAGAAUGAGCAGAGGAAGAGGGAAAGAAUCUCAAGCAGACUCCACACUGAGCAAGGAGUCUGAUGGGGGGCUCCAUCCCAGGACCCUGAGAUCGUGACCUGAGCUGAAAUCAAGAGUCAGAUGUUCAACUGACUAAGCCACCCAGGCAGCCCUCAAAACUGCAAUUCUUUAAAAAAGUAACCCAAUCACUCAAUUUACAAUGUGCUCACCUCGCUUAUCUACAGUAAGUAAGUAGAUAAGCGAGGUGAGCAAGGCUGGCAGGCAUCCAACAACAAAUUGUGCCUUAGCAGGAAGGAGGACCAGAGAAAGGAUCUCUGGGCAGGAUGAGAUCCUUCCGAUCUUCUUUUCCUCUCCAGUCAGAUUCAGACCCUAUACAUACAGAUUCCUGUUCUGUCCUUGCCUCUGUGCUUCCAUACUCUCCCUCUCUCUAAAAAAGGGGAAAAGCCUCCGGCCUUCUGUGAGCUAUUAUCUUGGGGUCAGUUAGAAGCUAUGGCAAGAUCACAGAAGGCCUCAUCUGCUCCUUCUGAAGUAGACAAAUUUCAUUUUGAGGUAAUUAACUUAGAAAGACCCUCACACACAUACACAAAGAGACAUAUUUAAAAAUAUUUAUGGCACACUGUGAAAACUCGGCUUAUAUGUUCACCAUUGCAGGAACAGGUAAAUUACCUGCUCUAUAGUAAUACAUUGGAACAGUAAACAGUAGCAUUGUAGUCAAAGGGAAUGAGCUAUAAUGAUAUCCCAGAAAGUUCUCCAAAAUAUGAUAUUGAGGGUAAGACAGCAAAUUGUAAAAUAGUGUACAGUAUGACACCAGACAGCAUGGGAUUGGAUCAUUGCUCUGCCACUUGUUAGCUCUACAACCUUAGGAAUUUUAUUUUUACCUCUGUGCUUCAGUUUAUUCAUCUGUAAAAUGAGA